rnacentral:rRNA from 1 species
GACGAACGCUGGCGGCGUGCUUAACACAUGCAAGUCGAACGAAGAGCGAUGGAAGCUUGCUUCUAUUAAUCUUCGUGGCGAACGGGUGAGUCACGCGUAAUCCACAUGCCCUUCAGAGGGGGACAACCGGUGGAAACGACUGAUAAUACCGCAUACGAUCUAACCUCGGCAUCGAGGAUAGAUGAAAGGUGGCCUCUACACGUAUGCUAUCACCGACGGUGGGGAUUGCGGCUGAUUAGCUAGUUGGGGGGGAAACGGCCCACCAAGGGGAAGAUCAGUAGCCGGUCUGGGGGGAUGAACGGCCACAUUGGGACUGAGACACGGCCCAGACUCCUACGGGAGGCAGCAGGGGGGGAUCUUCCGCAAUGGACGAAAGUCUGACGGAGCAACGCCGCGUGAGGGAUGACGGCCUUCGGGUUGUAAAGCUCUGUUAAUCGGGACGAAAGGCCUUCGUGCGAAUAGUUAGAAGGAUUGACGGUACCGGAAUAGAAAGCCACGGCUAACUACGUG